CAUUGUUCUGAUCAUCUGAAGAUCAGCCAGCUAUUAGAAGAGAAAGAUCAGUUAAGUCCUUUGGACCUGAUCAGCUUGAUACAAGAACUACUGAUUUCAACUUCUUUGGCUUAAUUCUCUCGGAAACGAUGAAAUAUACAAGUUAUAUCUUGGCUUUUCAGCUCUGCAUCGUU
rfam:Gorilla gorilla gorilla genomic chromosome, chr12, whole genome shotgun sequence